CUGAAGGAAGUAAAAACUGAAGGAGGUAACAGUGACGUGGACCAAGGUGGUGGUGACAGAGGUGCUCAGGCCCCAGUCAUCACGGACAAGAUGUCACUGCUGUGCCUCGUCUGAAUUCAUGUCUCACAGAAACUAGCAGGGUCCUCCUGGAAAAGCUGCCGCAGGUGGCCUGAAGCACAGGCCGCCAUGUUUUACAGCACAUGAUCUGGACGCCCGGGGCACAGCGACAGAUAACAAAUCGGCAACUGAUGCCACGUUGAGGCUAACACCUUCAAAACGGCCAGAAGCUGAAGAGGUCACCUGGUAGCUGUGCCCACAGGUCCCCUCCGCUGGGAAGGCUGAACGUGAGCUACAGGUAAGACGGGUAAGUGACGCACACAGGAGGGACAACACAGAAGGUGGUAAGCAGGAGCCAGGCCGCUGAGAAGGGAUUAGAGAGGCAUCAGCCCCGCAGAAGACGGGGGCCAGGCCACAGGGCAGUGACCGGGCUCCUUGAGCUAUCCCGCAUUCCCACUGUCAUUCCACCCACCCUGAGCGACACCUGCCUGUGCACUGUGACCCAAGUUUUCAGUUCUGCAAGGCCUGUUAGGCACAGUUCUGAGACACCCGCAGGCAUGUUUACCUCUGGCAACCCAAAAAGGGCCUAUCUUGUAUUUAUGUGGCGACUCUAGUAGCCAUGUCAAUAACUGAAACAUUUACGUUGUGAAGCACUCACUGUGUGUUAAGAAGCACUGUGGAUUGAAUGGUGAGUAAACCACAACAGCACAUGACUACACGGAAUGUAAAGCCCAGCACAGGACACAUUAAGCAGGCAGAAGCGAGAAAGCUGAUAAACACAAUGCUAGGAAGUACGGACUGCAGUGGAAACACACAGGAAAGAGACUGAGUCUGUAGGGAAGAAUCACAAACACUCGAUUGGGGAAGUAGUCUUCAGGCUGAAGGACACAGUUAGCCACGCGUGCCAGAUACUGCAAAGGGCUCACUCAAUACCCCAUUCCCAACCGAUGUGGACUC